AUGGCCCUUAUUGACUUAGGGUGUUUUGCCUUCCGGCGCCCCUUUGGCCCCCUUGAGGUGGCCGCCUGGGACUCCCUCCUCCAGGACAUCGCGCUUCUGCCUAUGGAUGUGGUGGAGGACCGGGAUGUUCUGUCCUGGCACCUAGAGCCCUCUGGACAUUUCUCCACAAAGUCCUUAUACGGUUCCAUUGCUCCCUCGUCGGCCCUGGAACCAUUUAGCCUAAUUUGGGACAUCCGUCUCCCGCUGAAGAUCAGGAUCUUCCUGUGGCAAUGGAUCCGUGGCCGGCUCCCCUCUGGUGUUGAGGUCCUCAAGCGUAACGGCCCGGGUGAUGGGAGGUGCCCCAUCUGUGGCACCGUUGAGGAUGCUAACCACAUCUUUUUCUCGUGCCACUCUGCCCAGUUCCUUUGGGCCUGCUUCCGCGAAACGGUUGGCGGACAAUGGUGUAAUACCAACUUCCCCGACCUGCUUGCCGAGCUUAACACCUGCCCUGCCCGCUACCGCCAUAUUAAAUGGCUGUGCGUUGGGGUUCUCGCCUGGACGCUUUGGAACAUUCGUAAUAAGCUUGUUAUUCAGAAGGUGCCCCUUCGUCGUGCGACUGACGCAAUCUUCAAAUUGUGUGGCUACCUGCAGCUUUGGCGGCCGCUUAGCCGCCCCCAGGACCGGGACGUCAUCACCGCCCUCCUCUCCGAUCUCCGCUUGAUGGCGCUCCGCGUGGCUCCCCCGCUGCCGCUCCUCCUCCUGAGCCUUACUAGGCCGCCUGGCGACUCUGUGGACUGUGGCGUGCGUUUUUUUGGGUUUAGGGCUUGUUCUGCUGUGCCCUCAGCUGUGACCCUGUCUUGUACUAUUUUGCUCUUGUGGACCUCCGUGUGUGUGUGCUCAUUUGUGUGUUGGGUCUUGUUGGAUGCUUGUUGUGCGGUUGGCUUUAUAAUAUAA
rnacentral:rRNA from 1 species